AGAGUUUGAUCCUGGCUCAGGAUGAACGCUAGCUACAGGCUUAACACAUGCAAGUCGAGGGGCAGCAUGAACUUAGCUUGCUAAGUUUGAUGGCGACCGGCGCACGGGUGAGUAACACGUAUCCAACCUGCCGAUGACUCGGGGAUAGCCUUUCGAAAGAAAGAUUAAUACCCGAUGGCAUAGUUCUUCCGCAUGGUAGAACUAUUAAAGAAUUUCGGUCAUCGAUGGGGAUGCGUUCCAUUAGGUUGUUGGCGGGGUAACGGCCCACCAAGCCUUCGAUGGAUAGGGGUUCUGAGAGGAAGGUCCCCCACAUUGGAACUGAGACACGGUCCAAACUCCUACGGGAGGCAGCAGUGAGGAAUAUUGGUCAAUGGACGAGAGUCUGAACCAGCCAAGUAGCGUGAAGGAUGACUGCCCUAUGGGUUGUAAACUUCUUUUAUACGGGAAUAAAGUGAGGCACGUGUGCCUUUUUGUAUGUACCGUAUGAAUAAGGAUCGGCUAACUCCGUGCCAGCAGCCGCGGUAAUACGGAGGAUCCGAGCGUUAUCCGGAUUUAUUGGGUUUAAAGGGAGCGUAGGCGGACGCUUAAGUCAGUUGUGAAAGUUUGCGGCUCAACCGUAAAAUUGCAGUUGAUACUGGGUGUCUUGAGUACAGUAGAGGCAGGCGGAAUUCGUGGUGUAGCGGUGAAAUGCUUAGAUAUCACGAAGAACUCCGAUUGCGAAGGCAGCUUGCUGGACUGUAACUGACGCUGAUGCUCGAAAGUGUGGGUAUCAAACAGGAUUAGAUACCCUGGUAGUCCACACAGUAAACGAUGAAUACUCGCUGUUUGCGAUAUACAGUAAGCGGCCAAGCGAAAGCGUUAAGUAUUCCACCUGGGGAGUACGCCGGCAACGGUGAAACU
rnacentral:rRNA from 1 species